rnacentral:rRNA from 1 species
AUGUCAGAGUCGCUGCUUCUCCCUCUGGUGCACCGCGUGGCCGGCAAGGCCGCAGACGCACUCGUCGUGAACAUGACCAGCAUGUGUGGCCUCGACGACGACCGCCAAUUGCUGGAGCGCCAUCUGCUAGCCAUAGAGUGCAAGCUGGCGAACACUGAGGAGAGGAGCGAGACAAACGCCUAUGUCAAGAGCUGGAUGAAAGAUCUCAAGUCCGUCACCUAUGAGGCCAGUGACGUUCUCGACGAUUUCCAGUACGAGGCGCUGCUCCGCCAGUCUAAGAUCAGCGGAUCCACUUCCCGUAAGUUACUCAGCUACAUCACGCACCGCAUCCCACUGUUCUUCCGUCUUGAAAUGAGCAAGAAGCUCAAGAACGUCCUCAAGAAGAUCAAUAAGUUGGUUGUGGAGAUGAACAAGUUUGGACUGGAGAGUUCUGUCCAUAGGGUGGAGCAGCAACUUCCUUGGCGGCAGAUGCACUUCAAUCUGGACAACUCUACCAAAAUCUUUGGAAGAGACGAUGAUAAGGAGGUGUUGGUGAAGCUGCUGCUGGACCAGCAGGAUCAACAGAAGGUGCGGGUGCUGCCCAUCGUUGGGAUGGGAGGUAUUGGCAAGACGACUCUUGCUAAGAUGGUGUAUAAUGACCAGCAGGUCCAACAACACUUCCAGUUGAAGAUGUGGCACUGCGUGUCAGACAACUUUGAUGCCAUUGCUCUUGUGAAAUCCAUCAUUGAGUUGGCUACAAACAGAAGUUGCGAUCUGCCUGACAGCAUUGAACCAUUGCAAGAGCGACUUGAGCAAGUCAUUGGCCGGAUUAGAUUUUUACUUGUUCUCGAUGAUGUAUGGAAUGAAGACAAGAGGAUGUGGGAGGAUGCAUUGAAGCCACUAUUGUGUUCUGUUGGAGGACCAGGAAGUGUUAUAGUUGUCACAUGUCGAAGCAAGCAAGUGGCCUCUAUAAUGUGCACCGUUGAGCCCCAUGAGGUAGUAUUUCUCAGUCAAGAAGAUUCAUGGGAAUUGUUUUCGAACAAAGCAUUUAGCCAUGGUGUUGAGGAGCAAGCAGAGUUGGUCAGCAUCGGAAGGCGUAUUGUCAAUAAAUGCGGGGGGUUACCUCUUGCUCUCAAGACAAUGGGUGGAUUGCUGAGUUCAAAGCAACAAGUACAGGAAUGGAAGGCCAUAGAAAAAAGUAACAUUUGGGAUAGUCAUGGAGGCAAUGAGGUCAUGCACAUACUAAAGUUAAGCUACAGACACUUGUCAUCUGAAAUGAAGCAAUGUUUUGCAUUCUGUGCAGUUUUCCCCAAGGAUUAUGAGAUUGAGAAGGAUAGGUUGAUCCAACUAUGGAUGGCAAAUGGCCUUAUUCAAGAAGAGGGAACAAUGGAUUUAACACAGAAAGGAGAAUUCAUUUUCAAUCAGCUGGUUUUGAUGUCCUUCCUCCAAGAUAAGAAAGUGGUAGUCAAAUCUGCUGUCUAUACUGUCUAUGGGGAUAACACACAAUAUGAGACAAUAGUAUGUAAAAUGCAUGACUUAAUGCAUGAUCUAGCAAAAGAUGUUACAGAUGAAUGUUCAAGUAUAGAAGAACUGACUCAACAGAAAACAUUGUUAAAAGAUGUUUGUCACAUGCAAAUGUCAAAGGCCGAAUUGGAACAAAUCCGUGUGUUAUGCAAAGGCAGAACAAACCUCCGCACUUUGUUAGUUCCUUCAGAAUCAUACGAGGAUCGCUAUAAUUUUUGGAGCAGAUUACACAAGGAUGUAAAAGACUUGCUUCAAGAAUCAGCAUCACUAAGAGCGCUGCAUUGCUCCCCUUCUUCAAUUGUCAUUUGCAAGGCCAUACAUGCAAAACAUUUACGGUAUCUUGACCUCUCUGGGUCUGACAUUGUUGCGUUGCCAGAUUCAAUAUGUGUGUUGUAUAACUUGCAAACAUUGAGGCUCAUAGAUUGCAAGGAGUUGCGGCAGUUAUCAAAAGAUAUGGCAGGACUAAGAAAGCUCAUGCAUUUGUACCUUUCUGGUUGUGACCGUCUCGAAAGUAUGUCUCCAAACUUUGGUCUACUGAACAGCCUUUACAUAUUAACAACAUUUGUUGUGGAUACUGGAGAUGGCCUUGGUAUAGAGCAGCUCAAAGGCUUGCAACACCUUAGCAAUAGGUUGGAGCUAUUGAAUUUGAAGAAGAUAAAGAGUGGGGAAAAUGCAAAAGAAGCCAAUCUCAAUCAGAAGCAGAAUUUAAGUGAGUUGUUGUUCUCUUGGGACGAAGAAAUAGAUGAUGGGCCUAAAAAUAUGGCCUAUAAUGUGGAAGAAGUGCUUCAGUGCUUAGAACCUCAUAGUAAUAUCCAAAAGUUGGAGAUACAUGGAUAUGGUGGCCUAGAAAUAUCACAAUGGAUGAGAAAGCCUCAUAUGUUUAACUACUUGAGAGAACUCAAAAUUUCCAACUGCCCAAGAUGCAAGAGUAUACCUGUAGUAUGGCUCUCAGUAUCUCUAGAAAUGUUGUCCUUACAGAAGAUGGAUAACCUGACAACAUUAUGUAAUAGCCUUUAUGUGGUAUCUGGAGGCAUUACCCCUGUGCAGAUUUUCCCAAGGUUGAAGAGGAUGAUGUUGAUUGAGCUACGAAGCCUGGAGAUAUGGGCAGAAAACAGUGUGGGAGAGCCUGAUGAUAGCCUGGUAAUGUUCCCGAUGGUUGAAGAGCUAAGGAUCGAAAACUGCCCCAAGCUUGCCAGUAUUCCAGUGACCCCCAUUGUCAGCGAGUUGACUAUAGUUGGAGUUCACAGUACUAUAGUCGGUUUAGUUUUUAUGAACAUCCGUUUGGGUUCUUGGCCAUUUCUCAUCAGUUUAACUCUUGGGUCUCCGGAAGAAAUACCCAUGUUGCCUCUAGAUGCGCAGCAAAGCCAAAGUCAAAGAUCUCUUGAAAAACUUAAGCACUUGGCUCUGGAAGGCCCCAGCAGCUUGGUCACAAGCUCCGAUUUGUCUAGAUCACACCUUAUGCCUUGGAAAUGUUUUCCGUUCGUGGAAGAGUUGGCAAUUCAGAGAUGCAGCAAUCUUGUCCGCUGGCCAACAGAGGGGCUCCGGUGCUUGAAUCGCCUCCGCUCUCUGUAUAUCAGUAGAUGUGAAAACCUGGAGGGGAACACUUCAUCGUUUGAGGAGACCCUUCCGCUAUCCCUGGAGUAUUUGACGAUUUCAGACUGCAACAGUGUGGCCAAGCUGCCUUCGAACCUUGGAAAUCUGGCCAAGCUGAGGAGUCUGGAUGUGAUUGGCUGUCGUGGCUUGAAAGGGCUGCCUGAUGGAAUGGGUGGCCUCACUUCUCUUAGGGAAUUAGUGAUUGUUGAUUGUCCAGCUAUGGAGAAAUUCCCUCAUGGUCUUCUGGAGCGGUUGCCAGCCCUUGAACACUUGGGCAUAUUUGCAUGCCCAGAGUUGAAAAGACGAUGCAGAGAAGGUGGAGAGUAUUUCCACUUGGUCUCCUCUGUCCCACUUAUAAUUUUUGAUGACGACAGUCAUGAAAAUCCAAGCUGCGAAGUAACUCGGUAUACGCAGGAGCGCCUUGGUCAGUAUAUCCGAAAGCCUCCACGGUAUGAAGGAGGCAACGAUCGAACAGUAAGAGGAGGCCUCAACUCCAAGAGACCACUUAUUACUGAAGCAAGCACUGAGUAUGCAGUCAAGCAAUCUGGUUCUCAAGAGCAAGACGGAAACAACAUUGUCCUUGAGGAAACAACAUCAUCUAACGUCUCGAGGUUGUUUGAUGUUUCAAUCGAGGAUGUAGGUGAAGUCAGGGAGACAGGGGGCCCGGUAAGUGCUUUGUUGGAUGCCAAGAGACCACUUAUUACUGAAGCAAGCGCCGAAUCUGCAGCCAAGCAAUCUGGUGGUCAAGAGCGAGAUGGGAACAACAUUGUCCUUGAGGAAACAACAUCACCUAACAUCUCGACGCUGUUUGAUGUUUCGAUCGAGGACAUAGUUGAUCUCAGGGAGACAGGGGGGCCGAUAAGUGCUUCGCUGGACGCCAAGAGACCAAUUAUUACUGAAGCAAGCGCCGAAUUUGCAGCCAAGCAAUCUGGUGGUCAAAAUCGAGAUGGGAACAACAUUGUCCUUGAGGAAACAACAUCAUCUAACAUCUUGACGUUGUUUGAUGUUUCGAUCGAGGACGUAGGCAAAGUCAGGGAGACGGGGGGGCUGAUAAGUGCUUCGCGGGGCGCCAAGAGACCACUUAUUAUUGAAGCAAGCACCGGAUGUGCAGUGGAGCAAUCUGGUACUCUAGAGCGAGACAGAAACAAUACCGUCCUUGAGGAAGCUCGCAUAUUGACAUCAUCUAAUAUCUCGACGUUGCUUGAUGGUUCGGUGAGUGUGUCUCUUAGCGCCAUGAGAGCUCUUGGUGCGAAGCUGGACAUGCUGCUGCUAGCUCCUCCUCAGGGAUGCUGCUCCAAGAGUGUCAAGGAUGGGAUGCAACUCCUAAGAGAAGAUAUUGAAGAGAUAAGCUCCUACCUAGAUGAACUGUCAGAGCUGGAGGAGCCUCCCCCGACAGCCAAGUGCUGGAUGAAUGAGGCGCACGACCUGUCAUACGACAUAGAGGAUUACAUCGACAGCUUAUUAUUUGUGCAGCCUGCAGAAUCCUCAAACAACAUCAAGGGCACCAGAUCCCGACUCAAAUUGUCCGGUCAUGCCAAGACUUCCAAGAGGCUCAAGCCACGACACGAGGGGACUGCGGGAAGGGUGUCACAGUUCAGCUUGUUCGUCCAGAAGGCGAUUGAACGACACCAGAGGUAUGAUCUCCAUUCUUGCAGUAACUUGAGGCGUAGGUUUGUAUCCCUUGGCCCUAUGCUCCCAAUGCAGUAUGGUGAAGAAACCACCCACAUAGUAAUUGAUGGCCGGAUGAACGAGUUUAUCAACUCAAUGGAAAAUGAUGAGGGCAAGCAGUUCAAGGUCAUGUCUGUUCAUGGAUCUUCUGGUCUUGGUAAGACUACACUCGCUAGAGCUUUGUACAACAAAGUUGGUAAGAGCUUCCAGUGUCGAGCUUUCAUUCGGGUGUCCGAACAGCCUGACACGAAGAGAAUUUUCCAUGACAUGCUCUCUCAACUCCAGCGGCAGCACCCCACACCAGAUUGUAAGGAGACUGGCCUCAUUGACAAUAUCAAGACCCAUCUACAAGACAAAAGGUACUUAAUUAUUCUUGAUGAUGUAUGGGAUGCAUCAGUAUGGGACAUUAUUAAUCAUGCUUUUCCGAAGGGUAGUCAUGGCAGCAGAAUAAUAACAACUACACAGAUCGAAGAUGUUGCAUUAACAUGUUGCUGCUAUCAAUCAGAGUAUGUUUUUCAGAUGAAGCCCCUAGAUGAUGAUCACUCAAGAAAGUUAUUCUUCAACACACUUUUUGGCUCUGACAGCAAUUGCCCUGAACAGUUGAAAGAGGCUUUAAACAAAAUUGUUCAAAUAUGUGGUGGUCUGCCGCUAGCAACAAUCAGCAUAGCUGGUCUUUUAGCAAGCCAACCUGUCAUGUCAAUUGAUCUUUUGACGCACAUCCAUCGGUCGUUAAGCUCUUGUUUCUCGGCAUCAGAAAGAACGAGACAAGCACUGAAUCUGAGCUUCAAUAACCUUCCUCAUUAUCUGAAGUCAUGUUUGCUAUCUCUUAGUAUGUGUCCAGAGGGCUAUGAAUUCUUCAAGUAUGAUUUGCUCAAUCAGUGGGUGGCUCAAGAUUUUGUUUACACAACAGAAGGGCAAGACAUUGAUAGAGUUGCAGAAAGCUAUCUCGAUCAACUUAUUGGUAGAAGAUUCAUCCAACCUAUAUGUAUCAGUUACAACAGUGAGGUGGUUUCCUGUGCAGUUCAUGACGCCAUACAUGAUUUCAUUGUGCGCAAGUCUGUAGAAGAGAAUUUCAUUGUGGCAAUAGACCACAGCCGAAAGAAUGUAUCAUUUUCUCAUAUUGUCCGUCGACUGUCUCUCCUCUUUGGCAAUGCAAGAUAUGCCAAGACACCGACGAACAUGAGCAGGUCACAAAUUCGGUCACUUAGAUUUUCUGGAUUAUUUGAGUGCAUGCCUUGUAUUAGAGAGUUCAAGCUUCUCCGUGUUCUAAAUCUCAAUCUAUCCGGCCAUCCUGGCGACCACGACCCCUUAGACCUUACUGGGAUUUCAGAACUGUUUCUGCUGAGAUAUUUGAAGAUUGCAAGUGAUGCCUGCAUAAUACUACCAAACCGUAUGCAAGGGCUGCAACAUUUGGAAACACUGGAUAUCAUGGCUGCAACAAGAGUCACUGCUAUUCCAUGGGAUAUUAUACAUCUCCCACACUUGUUCAACCUGACUCUUCCUGUUGAGAGAAACCUGCUGGAUUUGAUUGGCAGCAUGGGUGACUCUGUCAGCAGUCUGUGGAGCACUGGCAAGCUGAACAACCUGCACAAUCUUCAUCUCACCUCUUCUUCUACUACACCGCCAUCAUUGGACCAUAGCAUGGAAGCCCUGGGAACUUUACUGGGAGGACAUGGCUACCUGAAAACUCUAGCUCUGACUCAUGAUGAUGGAUCUUGGCAUAAAGAUGCUUCAAGAGUAAUCAUUAGCUGGGACGGUUUGGCACCUCCCCCUCUUCUCCAGAGAUUCGAAUUCUCGCCGCACAGCUGCAUCACAUUUUCCCAAGUUCCGCAGUGGGUUAAAGAACUUGGCAACCUAUGUAUCUUGAAGAUUACAGUGAGGGAACUGCAGUUAAAUUGUGUUGAUAUUCUCAGAGGAUUGCCUGCCCUCACUGCUCUGUCUCUGUAUGUGGAGACAGAGCCCGUUGACAAGAUCAUCUUUGGCAAUGCUGGGUUCUCAGUUCUCAAGUACUUCAAGUUCAGGUGCAGUGCACCUUGGCUCAAAUUUGAGUCAGCUGCAAUGCCUAAUCUUGAGAAGCUCAUGUUAGGUUUCAAUGUCAUCCCCCAAAUGGAUCAACAUCGACAUGCUAAUGCAGUUAUCACCAUUGAGCGUAUGCCAGGUCUUAAAGAGAUCUCUGCAAAAAUUGGAGGAGCAACUGCUAAUACUGAUGCAGUCUCUGCCUUGAGGACCGUCGUUAGUAAUCAUCAGAGCAAUCCGAAGAUCAACGUCCAAUUGGUGGAUUACAGUUUCUAUGGUCAUGAAAACGAACUGCAGUUUCUAUGGUGA